UUGUUGGUGAAAGUCCAACCCGAGUAAGUGCCAAGACGCUCGGUAGCUGACCGGCAACUGGUGGAGAAAUCCUAAGGUUGAAGCCCGGUGACAACGUAACUCCUUUUGGAGUGCUAGCAAAUCAACAGGUCGUAACAUUA
rfam:Bacillus methanolicus MGA3, complete genome.